rnacentral:rRNA from 1 species
GAUGAGCGCUGGCGGCGUGCCUAAUACAUGCAAGUCGAGCGAACAGACGAGGAGCUUGCUCCUCUGACGUUAGCGGCGGACGGGUGAGUAGCACGUGGAUAACCUACCUAUAAGACCGGGAUAACUUCGGGAAACCGGAGCUAAUACCGGAUAAUAUAUUGAACCGCAUGGUUCAAUAGUGAAAGACGGUUUUGCUGUCACUUAUAGAUGGAUCCGCGCCGCAUUAGCUAGUUGGUAAGGUAACGGCUUACCAAGGCAACGAUGCGUAGCCGACCUGAGAGGGUGAUCGGCCACACUGGAACUGAGACACGGUCCAGACUCCUACGGGAGGCAGCAGUAGGGAAUCUUCCGCAACGGGCGAGAGCCUGACGGAGCAACGGCGCGUGAGUGAUGAAGGUCUUCGGAUCGUAAAACUCUGUUAUUAGGGAAGAACAAAUGUGUAAGUAACUAUGCACGUCUUGACGGUACCUAAUCAGAAAGCCACGGCUAACUACGU